UACGUAGGGCGCAAGCGUUAUCCGGAAUUAUUGGGCGUAAAGAGCUCGUAGGCGGUCUGUCGCGUCUGCUGUGAAAACUCGGGGCUUAACUCCGGGCCUGCAGUGGGUACGGGCAGACUAGAGUGCGGUAGGGGAGACUGGAAUUCCUGGUGUAGCGGUGAAAUGCGCAGAUAUCAGGAGGAACACCGGUGGCGAAAGGCAGGCU
rnacentral:rRNA from 1 species